ACCGAUAGAAUAGAUGACAGUUUUAGUGAGGCAUGCUGAGUAGUUAUGGCUGACUCAGUUUACCUAGACAUUAUCAGAGGUGUAUUUCCUUAGAGACCACAUUUGCAUUGGCCUACAUGCUUCAGUGCUCUCAAAGCAUUUAUAGAGGAGACAGGGAGGACACUCACCGACAGACUAACAGAACUGACAUCAUGGCUGCUGUCACCAUCGUCAUCUGGACCCUUGCCUGCUGCAUGACCGGGUCGCUGGGUCAGGUCACUGUGACUCAGUCUGCAGCUCAGUCAGUCAGGCCUGGUCAAACCGUCACCAUUGACUGUAAACACACACCUGCUGUGUUCUGUGUGGAUAGUGCUACCAAAACUAAAAAGUGCAUGUCCUGGUUCCAUCAAAGACCCGGUGAGGUUCCUACACUCCUGAUACACCACACAUCAGACAGAGCCUCUGGAGUUUCCUCCAGGUUCAGUGGCAGUGAGGACGGAACCCACACUCAGUUUAAUCUGACCAUCAGUGAUGUCCAGGGUAGAGACGCAGGGGAGUACUACUGUCAGAGUGGGCAUAAAGAGGGUGAGACCUGGAUGUUCACACAGUGAAAAAGCGCCGUACAAAAACCUCCCUGAGUAACUGCAGCUGGCUUGGCCCUCGGGUGGUGCAGAGGGGGAAGUCAAAGACACGGGUACUGGAUACACAAAUA